AUUGAACGCUGGCGGCAUGCCUUACACAUGCAAGUCGAACGGUAACGGGCCUUCGGGUGCCGACGAGUGGCGAACGGGUGAGUAAUGUAUCGGAACGUACCUUUCAGUGGGGGAUAACGUAGCGAAAGUUACGCUAAUACCGCAUAUUCUGUGAGCAGGAAAGCAGGGGAUCGCAAGACCUUGCGCUGAUUGAGCGGCCGAUAUCAGAUUAGCUAGUUGGUGAGGUAAAGGCUCACCAAGGCGACGAUCUGUAGCGGGUCUGAGAGGAUGAUCCGCCACGCUGGAACGGAGACAGGUUCCAGACUCCUACGGGAGUCAGCAGUGGGGAAUUUUGGACAAUGGGGGCAACCCUGAUCCAGCCAUGCCGCGUGAGUGAAGAAGGCCUUCGGGUUGUAAAGCUCUUUCGGCCGGGAAGAAAUCGUAUCAGCUAAUACCUGGUGCGGAUGACGGUACCGGCAUAAGAAGCACCGGCUAACUACGUGCCAGCCGCCGCCGUAACAC
rnacentral:rRNA from 1 species